rnacentral:tRNA from 1 species
AGGCGCGUAGCUCAGCUGGUUAGNNCACCUUGACAUGGUGGGGGUCGUUGGUUCGAGUCCAAUCGCGCCUACCA